GAACGACCAAACAGAAAAGACUCAAAAAUAAGUUGUCAAAUAUGAAAAAAUCAAUUAAUUGUACAAUUUCCAAGCAUAUCAAUGAACGAAACACAAGGAAGAAUCUUCAAAAUGCUCGAAAACACUCUCGGAGAAAACAUUUGGUUGGGAGAGGUGCUAUCAAAACAUCAUCACAUUCCUCAUGAAAGAGAAAAACGAGAAAGAAAAAACUGUGAGAGAACUUCUGGGCACUGUUAGUGAAGGAAAUUUCAGUGAAAAUGGACAAGAUGCUUCAAUUGUUUGGAGCUUACUUGCUUAUUUGGUGCCUACGAUGGUUGCCAUUACUGGACAAAGAACACAUCCAAAUAUAAAAUUGAAGAUUCUCAGGGAUCAUUCCUGUUUGUUGGAAGGUAGAUUCAGGAAGUGGAAGAUCAUAUAGAAUAUUAGAAAACAAGAUUAACAACCCCAUACAUCCAUUCAUAAAAGGCAUUGCAUCGGAGAUGAUAUAAAACUUAUACAUGAAUUGUUUGU